rnacentral:rRNA from 1 species
UACCAGCACCCCGAGUGGUCGGGACGUUUAUUGGGCCUAACGCAUCCGUAGCCGGUUCUACAAGUCUUCCGUUAAAUCCACCUGCUUAACAGAUGGGCUGCGGAAGAUACUAUAGAGCUAGGAGGCGGGAGAGGCAAGCGGUACUCGAUGGGUAGGGGUAAAAUCCGUUGAUCCAUUGAAGACCACCAGUGGCGAAGGCGGCUUGCCAGAACGCGCUCGACGGUGAGGGAUGAAAGCUGGGGGAGCAAACCGG